UGGGGAAUUUUGGACAAUGGGCGAAAGCCUGAUCCAGCAAUGCCGCGUGUGUGAAGAAGGCCUUCGGGUUGUAAAGCACUUUUGUCCGGAAAGAAAUCCUCUGGGUUAAUACCUCGGGGGGAUGACGGUACCGGAAGAAUAAGCACCGGCUAACUACGUGCCAGCAGCCGCGGUAAUACGUAGGGUGCAAGCGUUAAUCGGAAUUACUGGGCGUAAAGCGUGCGCAGGCGGUUUUGUAAGACGGAUGUGAAAUCCCCGGGCUUAACCUGGGAACUGCAUUCGUGACUGCAAGGCUAGAGUAUGGCAGAGGGGGGUAGAAUUCCACGUGUAGCAGUGAAAUGCGUAGAGAUGUGGAGGAAUACCGAUGGCGAAGGCAGCCCCCUGGGCCAAUACUGACGCUCAUGCACGAAAGCGUGGGGAGCAAACAGGAUUCAGAUACCCUGGUAGUCCACGCCCUAAACGAUGUCAACUAGUUGUUGGGGAUUCAUUCCUUAGUAACGUAGCUAACGCGUGAAGUUGACCGCCUGGGG
rnacentral:rRNA from 1 species